GACGUAGGGCGCGAGCGUUGUCCGGAUUUAUUGGGCGUAAAGAGCUCGUAGGCGGUGUGUCGCGUCGGCCGUGAAAACCUGCAGCUUAACUGUGGGCGUGCGGUCGAUACGGGCAUCACUGGAGUUCGGCAGGGGAGACUGGAAUUCCUGGUGUAGCGGUGAAAUGCGUAGAUAUCUGGAGGAACACCGGUGGCGAAGGCGGCAUCCUGGACCAACACUGACACUGAGGAGCGAAAGCCAGGGGAGCAAACGGG
rnacentral:rRNA from 1 species